UCGGAACCACUGAGAAAAAUCAAUUUCGGGCUAACACUGACGUCAACCCAAAAGAGGAGUGCAAAGUUGUUAUAACAAGAAGUAAAAGGAAGCCAGAGGAGGAAAUAAUUGAGAUUGAAAGUAGUGAGGAUAAAGAGGAGGAGAGGAUUCAUAAUAAGCAUAAGAGAUGCGAAGAGAAGAAAGCAGAAAGUGAAAAAGAGCAGGAAAGUAUUAGAGAAUCACUCCGUAAUAUUCUUAAUAAGGUACCUGAUGGGUGUCGCGGCCCAUACAAAUUUGAUUGCAUAUGAGAAAUGCAGUAUAGACUAGGAAGUGACUCCUAGAUCGUCUCUCAAGGACCAAAUGUGGUUCGAGAAUCAGGUCAAACACGUAGUGGGGGGGUUUUUGAAAGGUUUGUGAAUGCAGAUGAACUAAAUUAAAAUGAAAAUUAAACACAACCAAGUAUAAUUAAAAUCAUUAAAAUAAAGAUUAGAAUUAAAAUUAAAAUAAAAAUAAAAGAUAAAACACUAAAAAAAUAACCGGCUGAAAAUUAAUUAAACAUGUAUUACACAAUGAAAAUGAGACAUGGAAACAUGUGAAAUGUAAAGAUAUAAUUAAUGCAUGAAAUGUAAAAAGCAAAUUAAAUUAAAAAAAUGCAUGAAAUGUAAAUUAAAAAAAAAUGAAUGCUAAGUCAUCUAACGUCAUCACCAAAUCAAUACUUAAAAAAAAAAAACGCAGGAAUAAAGCUAAUAGGAAAUGAUGCACCGGAAUUUAAAAAAGAUAAUGAAACAUAAGUAAAAUGAUUAAUCAAUUAAAAUAAAUUUAAUAUCAAGCAACCACUUCCAUGCUUUUUGAGCUCCUCUCGGUUCAACAUAAAAAAUAAUAGGACUAAGACCUUUGAAGCUUUUCUCUCAUGGACAUGACAGCCAUGUCUUCUUCCAAUUGAAAAAUGAACUAAGCAUGUGCAGGCCGUGGCUUUUGAAAGAAAGAAAUUGAAUUCGUUUUCUCCAACCCAUGACCAUGUGCACCGCUCCAGCAAGGUGGAAUCAACCUUUCCGUGUGCGCCUUCUUUCUCCAGCAUCUUCCUACAAUGCUUUUCUUCAUUCAAUUGCAAGCAGAAUGUGCGUCAAGUCCAGUCAUGCAGUGACACCACAUCA
rnacentral:lncRNA from 1 species